CUAGCGUUCUGUGAUGAAUGACGGAGGUAGAGCACUGAAUUGGGUAGGGGGCGUCAAGCUUACCGAACCAUAUCAAACUCCGAAUGCCGUGCAUUUUAACAGGGCAGUCAGACAGUGGGAGAUAAGUUUCAUUGUCAAAAGGGAAACAGCCCAGACCAUCCGCUAAGGUCCCCAAGUACUGAUUAAGUGGGAAAGUAUGUGUCACUGCACAAACAACCAGGAUGUUGGCUUAGAAGCAGCCAUACAUUUAAAGAGUGCGUAAUAGCUCACUGGUCGAGUGGUGGUGCGCCGAAAAUGAACGGGGCUAAAAUCAGGCACCGAAGCGAUGGAUUGUACCGCAAGGUACAGUGGUAGGGGAGCAAUCUCUUAGGGGCGAAGCCAUUUCGUAAGGGAUGGUGGACUUAAGAGAAGAGAGAAUGUUGGCAUGAGUAGCGAAAGUGAAGUGAGAAUCUUCACCAUCGAAAGCCCAAGGUUUCCUGAGGAAGGCUCGUCCGCUCAGGGUUAGUCGGGGCCUAAGCCGAGGUCAAAAGACGUAGGCGAUGGACAACUGGUUGAAAUUCCAGUACUACCUCAAAGCGUUUGAGAAAUGGAGUGACACAGAAGGAUAAGCGAACCCGGCCGUUGGAAGAGCCGGGGCAAGCAGUAAGGCUGCAGCGGGAGGCAAAUCCCCCAUUGCAAAAGGCUAAGCUGUGAUGCGGAACGAAAAAUAAGUAGGGAAGUCGCCGAUUUCACGCUGUCAAGAAAAGCUUCUAUCGAGCUGCGAGGUACCCGUACCGUAAACCGACACAGGUAGGCGAGGAGAGAAUCCUAAGAUGAGCGGGAGAAGUGUUGUUAAGGAACUCGGCAAAAUGACCCCGUAACUUCGGGAGAAGGAGUGCCCCUUCGGGGGCCGCAGAGAAGAGGCUCAAGCGACUGUUUAGCAAAAACACAGGUCUCUGCUAAAUCGAAAGAUGACGUAUAGGGGCUGACGCCUGCCCGGUGCUGGAAGGUUAAGGGGAGUGCUUAGCGUAAGCGAAGGUGCGAACUUAAGCCCCAGUAAACGGCGGCCGUAACUAUAACGAAAUUCCUUGUCAGGUAAGUUCUGACCCGCACGAAAGGCGUAACGAUUUGAGCGCUGUCUCGACAACACACCCGGUGAAAUUGUAGUACUCGUGAAGAUGCGAGUUACCCGCGACAGGACGGAAAGACCCCGUAGAGCUUUACUGUAGUCUGGCAUUGAGUUUUGAUAUAACAUGUACAGGAUAGGUGGGAGGCAGAGAAGCAUGCACGCCAGUGUGUGCCGAGCCAUUGUUGGGAUACCACUCUUGUUAUAUUGGAAUUCUAACGCGUUGCCGUUACC
rnacentral:rRNA from 1 species